rnacentral:rRNA from 1 species
UACGUAGGGGUGAGCGUUGUCCGGAAUUAUUGGGCGUAAAGAGCUCGUAGGCGGUCCUUUAAGUCGGAGGUGAAAUCUCAGGGCUCAACCCUGAAAUUGCCUUCGAUACUGGAGGACUUGAGGCAGGUAGGGGAGAACGGAAUUCCUGGUGUAGCGGUGAAAUGCGCAGAUAUCAGGAGGAACACCGGUGGCGAAGGCGGUUCUCUGGGCCUGUUCUGACGCUGAGGAGCGAAAGCGUGGGGAGCAAACAGGAUUAGAUACCCCCGUAGUCCCUGAGCGGG